rnacentral:rRNA from 1 species
UACAGAGGUCUCAAGCGUUGGUCGGAUUCAUUGGGCGUAAAGGGUGCGUAGGCGGCGCGGUAAGUCGGGUGUGAAAUCUUGGAGCUUAACUCCGAAACUGCAUUCGAUACUGCCGUGCUUGAGGACUGGAGAGGAGACUGGAAUUUACGGUGUAGCGGUGAAAUGCGUAGAUAUCGUAAGGAAGACCAGUGGCGAAGGCGGGUCUCUGGACAGUUCCUGACGCUGAGGCACGAAGGUCAGGGGAGCAAACGGG